CCGCCAAGGCCGAAAACUCGGACAAUGAACACCUCACGGGGCUGUCACGUGCCCUAUCCAACUCUCUCCUCGUCCGUACAACAGUGAGCAGUCGUCGACUUUCCCCCUGAAAAACCUAACGAAGUUGAACUUCGAGCCUAGCCGACUUCGUCGCCAUCGAUCUCGAGUUCGAUCGAGCGGACGUCUGCCACCUCAAGGUCAAGUUAGCGGUGCUUCAUUUCUCAUGCGUGCGUGGGGAAGGAAAUCUGGUCUGGGCUUUUGGAUAUUCAAUUCUGCUCAGUUCAGACCUAAGGUUGAUGGGUUUGAGUUGUUAUGAUCAAAUACACAUAAUUUUGGCAUUCUUGGUGGUGGAAUAUCUUAGCCAUGCAGAGCUUGUGAUUUGGAAGCUUCUGUUCCAGAGGCUGGUGAUGGAGGUUUAUGCUUUGUCAUGUCCCAUGGGUUUUGGAAUUGGAAAUGUAAAGCAGAAAUCUUGAAGGUGUUAAAGUAGAAUUGUCUUUCCUCAUUUUGAUCAGAGAUUUUCCACCAACACCAGGGUGAAUCAACCCGUUUGAAAGCAGAAAUCUCUUCUUCCAGCACUUGUUUUUCUUGAAAUUGGCAACGCGCAUAAACAAUCACUCAGGCAACUCUGCCUGCACCAAUCCUCAGUUACUGGCUGAAAAUGGUCAUACUCAGAAUAAGGCCAAUCUGUGUUCUGCAUCUCUUGAAAAUAUAAGGAUUCUGAUUCUAGUGAGGCGUCAUCACAACUUUGUGAAUCAAAGUCCUGUUUGCAUCCUUCAACACAUCAUCUGGAUCAAUAUGGCUGUAACCAUAUGGACACUGGCAACUUGGUCCUUCAUCCUCAUGUCUGCAUAAGCUGUUGAAUCCACAUGCACCGCCGCCUGUAUAUUCCAAGAGCGAGGUGCACAUAUUUGAAGGCAUGUAAGACAAAGUAGACCAAGCCAUGGAGCACCUUCCCACAGUUGAGCUGGUACUUUUAGGGUACACAUGGUAUCUAAAAACUCCAUCGUACUCAAGAGUUACUCUCUGGUAGAAAUCCUGCUGCAUACAUAAAGAUCAUAUUUACAUAAGAAAAAAAUAACUCUGAUAAAAAGAAUGAAAUGAAUUAAAAGGCUUACCUUCGUAUUGUAGAGUGAAUAUGAAAUGUCCUUUUUGC